rnacentral:rRNA from 1 species
CACCGCGGUUAAACGAGAGGCCCUAGUUAAUAGUAUUACGGCGUAAGGGUGGUUAAGGAGAGCAAAAUAAUAAAGCCAAAUGGCCCUUUGGCCGUCAUACGCUUCUAGGUGUCCGAAGCCCAACCACACGAAAGUAGCUUUAGCAAAAACCACCUGACUCCACGAAAACUGAGAAACAAACUGGGAUUAGAUACCCCACUAUGCUCAGCCAUAAACCUAGAUGUCCAACUACAAUUAGACAUCCGCCAGGGUACUACGAGCAUUAGCUUGAAACCCAAAGGACCUGACGGUGCCUUAGACCCCCCUAGAGGAGCCUGUUCUAGAACCGAUAACCCCCGUUAAACCUCACCACUUCUAGCCACCCCAGCCUAUAUACCGCCGUCGCCAGCUUACCCUGUGAAGGUAAUAAAAGUAAGCAAAAUGGGCAAAACCCAGAACGUCAGGUCGAGGUGUAGCGUACGAAGUGGGAAGAAAUGGGCUACAUUUUCUAUCAUAGAACACUACGAAUAUGCAACAUGAAAUAGUGCUUGAAGGAGGAUUUAGUAGUAAAAAGGAAGCAGAGUGUCCUUUUGAACCCGGCUCUAAGGCGCGUACACACCGCCCGUCACUCUCCCCUGUCAAAACGCAACAAAGAUAUAUAACGAAAAAGCACUGACAAGGGGAGGCAAGUCGUAACAUGGUAAGUGUACCGGAAGGUGCACUUGGAUUAAACCCAGGGCGUGGCUGAG